AGUGAACGCUGGCGGUAGGCCUAACACAUGCAAGUCGAACGGCAGCACAGUAAGAGCUUGCUCUUACGGGUGGCGAGUGGCGGACGGGUGAGGAAUACAUCGGAAUCUACUUAUUCGUGGGGGAUAACGUAGGGAAACUUACGCUAAUACAGCAUACGACCUACGGGUGGAAGCAGGAGAUCUUCGGACCUUGCGCGACUGAAUGAGCCGAUGUCGGAUUAGCUAGUUGGCGAGGUAAAGGCACACCAAGGCGACGAUACGUAGCUGGUCUGAGAGGAUGAUCAGCCACACUGGAACUGAGACACGGUCCAGACUCCUACGGGAGGCAGCAGUGGGGAAUAUUGGGCAAUGGGCGAAAGCCUGACGCAGCAAUACCGCGUGAGUGAAGAAGGCCUUCGGGUUGUAAAGCCCUGUUAUUGGGAAAGAAAAGCAGCGGGUGAAUACCCGGCUGUUCUGACGGUACCCAAAGAGAAAGCACCGGCUAACUUCGUG
rnacentral:rRNA from 1 species